rnacentral:lncRNA from 1 species
CAUCCAGGAUGCAUUCACCAAAAAAACUUAAAUACAUAGAACUUUCACAAAAAAUUAAGCAUCUUUGGGGAAUGCAAAAGGUAGUCACUGUACCCAUCAUUCUGUCCUCAACAGGAGUAAUUCCUCACACUCUAUACAAAAACCUCAAAACACUAGAUGUACACCCCAAGACACACAUAACACCUCAAAAGGUAUCGCUACUCAAUACAUGCAACAUGGUAAAAAAGUUUUUCAGCACUGACACAGACAAUUAGUUAACACAACUAAACAUCACAAGUAGCUACAUCUUGAUUCUUGUCUUACAUAGCACUUUGCUCUGGAGUUAUUCCAUGCUCACAUAUGAUAAACAACAUAAUUACAAUAACUGCUUAUCAUCACUGCAGGUGCGAAACAUGGAUUUUCUCUGUUGACUUAAAUUCCAACAUAAAAUUAAAAUAAGAUUGUGCAUACAGUAUUCAACAAGGAACAAACAAGUUUGGG